ACUAACUGAAAAACUUUUGGCUAAUGCUAAUGCUAACGCUAGCUAGCUUGUGACUGUAAUAUUCUGUGAGAGGGUCUUGUUUAACAGCACAAAUCAGCUCACCCAUCGUAGUUCCGCAGUUAUAAAUGCGAAAUAAAACAUGAAACAGAUAAACAUGAAUAACAGAGCUUCAGACAGAGCAGUGCCUACAGUUAGCACACAUUGUUACAGCUGCUGCAAGAAUUUGAAGUUGUUUUUAACUGUCCCUUUUAUUUAUUGCAGGAGACAACAAUUCUCUCCCACUAUUUCACUUCGCCGCCUGAAACUAAGAUCUACAAAAGUGAAUACGAAGGCCGUGUUUCCAUGGAGACCAGACCCUGGUGGGCGGAGUUUAAACUGUUUAACGUCACCGCAAGAGACAAUUUAUUCAUCAUGUGUCAGGUCCAAAUUCCUGAAGACGACCUGGGAAAACCAGUGGAUACGACGGAACUCAUCGUGUUUGGUAUGUCUCUGUUAAACGUGUGGUCCUACUGCGUGAUGUCAUUAGGUGGUAAUCCAGGAAAUGACAAAACUCACUCUGAUCAUGUCAGUUCUUAAAAGGGCACGUUAUUUUACCCUUCUCUUGUAAUGUUUCACACUACGGCAUUAAACUUGUCUAUAUCCUAUGUCUAUGUACAAAAGCUGGUGACGCCACAAAGGCUGAGUCAGAUCUGUGGAGAUGUGACAAUAGAGCAGUGGUUCUCAAAUUGUGGCCCCAGGGGGCGCGGUGCGACGCCAGGGGGGGCGUGUAUGACUCCGGGAACAUGCUUCUUUUUUUUUUUUUGCCGUACUAGAAUAAAGUGUAAUUGCACAUCCACUACUGUAGGUGGCAGUUGAUCUCUCACUGUCAGAGUGUGCACAGGCCCUACACCACAGAGCUAAUACUAUGCCGUGUACGCGCACAAACCCGACACUGUAGGUUGUGCGUACGCAGCAAAGAGCAGGAGAUAGAACAGAUCGUGACACAAGACAGUGAACAAGAGACACUUUUGCUAAAGAGACACUAUAGAAAAAAAUUUAAACAGGGAUGAAAAGAAAGGCGGAGACAGACGGAGGUAAUGAGACACACAAAGUCACCCAAAAAGUAAAGUCCAGAUAAACACUGAGCAGGGGCAAAGAGCUGCAGUAUCAGGCUUCAAACCCAGGUUCAAAAAGCUGUGCCCUGCAAAACGAGCUCAUUGCACCAUUAAUCCUGACUUCUUCAUUUUGAUAAAGAAAAAAAACCAAAACAUCAUCAACAUGAUCGUGAUUAGUGUUAUUAUCUUAUAUCAUCCCAUCCCUAAUUAUCACAUGAUGACAUCACAAGGUGGAACAGAGUGUUUUCUGUUUGAGAGAAGAACUCUGCAGGGUUUGUGUGUUAAACAUGUGAAUGAAACAAAACACAACUCCAGGUCAGUGUGUGACAAGGAAAAAACAUUAGAACAGAUCAGAAAACAGUGUAACAUGGACCCUUUAAUGCCUUAUUCUGGAGCAUUCUGCAUCUUUCCAGUUUGCUCAGUUGAAAUCCCUGCUCUCGUCCCCAGCUCCGCCCUCUGUUCCUGUGUGUGACGUGGAGGGGAGAGUGGAGCAGGGCCAGAACCUCACUCUGAGCUGUACCUCAGAGGAGAGCUCUCCUCGGGCGGUUUACUCCUGGAAGAGUCCGGAUGCCCUGGACCAAAACAGAGCGACACAGAGGAACACACGAGAUGGAGGGUUCUUGUUUUUAAACAACAUCACCAAAAACAUGUCGGGGCUCUACGUCUGCACCUCCAGAAACAUGAUCAAGUCUGAGAUCUGUAACAUCACACUCUCCGUCAAACCAGGAGACACGGCACGGAGGAGACUGAUGGACAAUGGUCUACAGUCCAACAGCCAAUCAGGACGCACAACACAAUGGUCCAACAGCCAAUCAGGACGCACAA
ensembl:lncRNA